CAUAAAUCACCCACUGUUGAUGUGGUUGUGAUAUGACUUUAGGGAACAAAGUGAUAUCAUAGACAUGUUUUAUGUCAAUUACAACAAAGGUGCAAAGAACAACAUAACCUCAGAGGUACAAUCACUGAGCACAUAGGCCUAUUAAUAUGCGAACACUGCCAGUUACCUAACAGAUUUGGCUGACCUGAUGUAGCCAUGAUCCCAAAAUAUCUUUGAUUAUGUCUUAUGACUAAGGGAAUGAAAGAAACUAGGUUUAUCCAAUUUAGGUUGAUCCAUUUUUGUGCAGAAUAUAACAAUUUGGUAAUAAAUGCAUCUUGAGUACUCCUCAUGGUAAACAGCACAAGCAGAUUUUAAAAGUCAUUGAAAAACUAACCAGAAGACUAGUUCUCUUAUCUUGUACUUUUUUUUUUUUUUUUUGAGAUGGAGUUUCUCUUAUUGCCCAGGCUGGAGUACAAGGGUGUAAUCUCGGCUCACCGCAACUUCCACCUCCCAGAUUCAAGUGAUUCUUCUUCCUCAGCCUCCCAAGUAGCUGGGAUUACAGGCAUGUACCACCAUGCCAGGGUAAUUUUCUAUUUUUAGUAGAGAUGGGGUUUCUCCAUGUUGGUUAGGCUGGUCUUGAACUCCCGACCUCAGGUGAUCCACCCGCCUCUGCCUCCCAAAGUGCUGGGAUUACAGGCGUGAGUGACUGCGCCUGGCCAUCUUAUACUGUAAACAUGAUGUAAGAGCAUUUGUAAUCCAAAAUUCCGAAACCCAAAUGCUCCAAUAUUUGAAACAGCACUGACAUGAUGUCCAAAGUAAACAUUCAUUGAAGCAUUUUGGAUUUCGGAUUUUUGGAUUACAAAUGUUGAACCAGUAAAUACAAUGUAAAUAUGUUCCAAAAUUAAAAAAAAAAAUCAAAUAUCUGAAAUAAUUCUGGUCUCAAGUAUUUCUGAUAAAAGAUAUUUAACCUGUAUAAACCACUUAGAAAAGAGAAUAUUACGUGUGCCAGGAAUUAGCCAUGAGCAUUAUAAAGAUUAUUUCAUUUAAAUCUCCCAACACACUAUGAGGACAUUUUUAGCCAUUACAUAAAUUAUUUAUGAUUCAGUGAGGUUAAUUGAUACAGGGUCAAAAAUAUUGUAGAUAGUAAGUCAAGAAGAAAUGUGUUUCCUUGAGUUUGAAUCACAUAAGCUUCUCUUUUUACCACUUUAUGAAAUAAGCUAUAUUAGGACUAGGAUAAUAGAGUGGAAGACUUUCCCAUCAUUCAUUCUUCUUUUUUCUAUAAGAACAGAAAACCAUCCAGUCUUCCAUUAAAGCAACAAUAUGUGAUGAGACUUGAAAAUGAUAUCAGGAAUAAAUGAUCAAUUUAUUGCCUCUCAGCUCCAAAUGUAUCCUUUUUGCCUACUCUGUGAAAAUAAAUUUGGGCCCUUUAAAUAUUUUUCUAUUACCAGCUGGCACAAUAUGAAUUAAGCUUUAUCACUAAUGGGAAAAAAAAAGUUUUCUUUUUGGCUCUGGUGUGUUCAGUAGCAAGGCCCCACAGAGCUUGGCUUCUCCAACACCAAGCUCUUUUAAGGUAGGGAGAUUCUCCAGCCUUGGCUCCCACAGCUUCCCCAGAGCCCGGCUCCUGAAGUGCAUAGCAGCCAGCAAUGCCAGCAUCCAGAAGUUUCCCUGGUCAUCUUCAGAAGGCUUCGUUGCCCAGUGCCUCUGGUGAAAUACCUUCCUGUGAACACUUCCCAGUAUCCGAGAGGGCUGAUUUCCAGCAAGUUCUGUGGGCAGGACACUGUAACAACUGGUUUGUCCACCAGUGAGCUACAGCUGUGCCCUCCACAGCAAGGUCUUAAUUUCAACCCUGGAGCAGAGUGGGAGAUGCCUCUUCCUAAGGAAAAUGUCUUCUUAUAUCUGCACUCAUUAUGUUCCUUAGAGUUCUCCUUACUUCUUACUAGGCAAUCUCUCAAUAUUUCGAUCCUCUGCACUAGUCAAUAAUUAUUUUUAUUAAACUUUCCUUAUGGAAAUUCCUGUGUGGUUUCUCUCUCCUGAUUUGACUUACACUAAUACAGAGAACAACGUAUUUUUUUUUAAUUAGAAUGUCAAUGUGGCUUUAAAUGCCAUUUCUAAAUAAGUAUACACAUUGUUGUUGUGUUGUUCUAAGUGUCAUAUUCAUCCUUUGAUUUACUCAUCAAAUAUUUAUUGUGCACAUUCUAAGUGCUGCAGAUAAAAGAUAUUAAUUAUGAUAUACUCCUAAACUCAAAUAAGGGUCUGGGUUUACCCCAAAAUAACAAUUAUGUGGUGUGAUAAGUACUGCAGAAAAGGCAUGCAAAUUGCUAUACAACUCAGUGAUAUAAGUUUUUUUGUUUUUUUUUUUUUUGACAGUCUCGCUUCGUCACCCAGGCUGGAGUGCGUGAUCUCAGCUCACUGCAACCUCUGCCUCCUGGGUUCAAGCGAUUCUCCUGGCUCAGCCUCCCGAGUAGCUGGGAUUACAGGUGCGCCCCACCACACCUGGCUAAUUUUUGUAUUUUUAGUAGAGGCGAGGUUUCACCAUAUUGGUCAGGCUGGUCUCGAACUCCUGACCUCAUGAUCCGUCUGCCUCAGCCUCCCAAAGUGCUGGGAUUACAGGCGUUAGCCACCAUGCCUGGCCAGAAGUUUUAUAGCUCACUUAUUUAAGCAAAUCACCCACAGGACAUAGAAGAUGGUAUGGAGUAGUAGGAAAGCCCUGAAAUAGGAGGCAGAAUGUCUAGGUCUCAGCUUCUUGUGUGAACUUAGAUAAGUCUCAUUAUCAUCUUUGCUUUUUAUCAGUUAACUGGGGGAUAAUGUAUGGGGAAAAUUAAAUGUAAUAUAAUAUUAUAUUACAUAGAAAUUACCUGCCACAGCAUCUGGCUAUGAUGCAAUAAAAGUUAACAACAAAUAAACUUACCACUCCCCAGUAACAUUACAAAUUUGUAAGAAUCCAACUAAAAUAAUAAUAUAUUUGAAAACACUUUGUACAGUAUAACGUACUAUCUGAAGGGAUGACAUAGUUAUUCCAUAUAUAAUAUUAAAUAAAAUGCUGUUACUUCAUUGGAGUGGGCUGGACAAAUGUAGGGAACAGAUGAUAGCAAGAAGAUCUGGCAAACACUGCAUGAUGAGUUGAAGAGUCACUACAGAAACGAGGUUAGGGACAAAACUUUUUCCAAGGCACACUGAAGUAUGCCUUCAAAGACAAGGCAAAGAUGUGAGUGGCUAGGAAAAACAGCAGUGGCAGACAGCUCAACCUGGUAUUUGGCAAUCAGUGGUGGGUGACUGUUUGAGAACAAGGGCUCUGAAGAGAACACGAAGCAGAGGCAUAAAUAGUGCCAGGCUCUGCAAAUAACAGCUGCAGCUGCAAACCCAUGCACACUGUGUGGAAAAGAUUAUACGUCACAGGCCAGUCUCUCAAAUACACGUGCAUUGGCUACUAUCAUCACUAGUUCUAGUCUUCACACACAUCAGGGAAACACAUAUAUGCUUCUUGUUAUGAACCAAUGUUAUUAUUUUUAGUAUAUUAAAAAUUGUUUCAUUAGUAUUGAACAUUUGGAAUAAAACUUGAAAAAUUAUUAAACUUUAGUUAGUAUUUUUUGGAAAUCAGGAAAUGUGUUUCUUAUUUGAAUAAAUUCGUGGUUUGGUCUGGUUUCCCUAAUUUUGAUGAGAACAUGAGCAUUUAUUUGUAGAGGAGCUAAUAAGAUAUCAAAUCUAUAAAGCAAAUGAAAAAGCCAAAGGUCCUUAUUAAUGAUUUUUAACUUUAUUUUAAAUGACAUUAUAUAAGACCUAGUGAAUGCAGAAAUAUGUUCUUAAAUAGGAUGACUCAAUGUUACAAGGAUGUCUAUUCUCAAUCUUUAGAUUUGUGGCAGAUUAAAGAUAGCCAUGCAUUCUCUGACUUUCCUUCCACAGAUAGGUGAAGACUAUGUCCCCUCACUUUAAAUCUGGGUCAGCUUUAUGGCUGCCUUGUCUGAUCAGGUAUGGUGGAAGCAACACUGAUCCUUCUGGGAUCAGGUCUUAAGAAACUUACAGCUUCCACUGCUACUCUCUUGAAAUAUUCCCUGUGAGUAUCCUAGUCUGACAUACACCCUAAUCUGCCAUGUAAGAAAUUCAACUAUCUUGGGACACAUAUGCUGAAGAAGCCCCAUACAGGCACUUUAGUAAUGGCUAAAUUCAGCCUUUCAGACAUCUCCACCAAGAUGCCUGACAUGAGUGAAGCCAUCUUGGAUGCUCUGCCAGUCCAUCCACAGCAGAAUACCACAGGUGGCAUGUCAAAGCCACAUGGAGCAGAUGUAUCAUCUAAUUCAGUCCUGCUUGAAUGCCUGGCCCACGUAAUUGUGAGCUUAAAAUACAAUUAGUGCUUAUUUUAAACAUCUAAGUUUUAGAAUAAUUUUCUAUGAAGCAAUAGAUAAUUGGCCUCGAUGCAAUUUCAAUAAAAUUUUUUGUGGAACUCGUUAUGCUGAUUAUAAAAUUUAUAUUCAAGAGCAAAGGACCAAAAAUUAAAAAGUGACACUUCUGAAGAAGAACCAUAUAGAGCUAAUUUGCUUUACGCCAUAUCAGGAUCAAACAGAAGUCUUCAGAUAAUGUGGUAUUGACGCAGAUAGAUAAAUAGAGCAUUGAAACCAAACAAGGAACCCAGAGCAAACUCUCGCUUUCAUUCUCAUACACACACAUACAUACACACACAAACACACACACACCACACACCACACACACCUACACCCACACCCACAAAUAUAACAAAGCUCUAAUUGUUGAUCUGUAGGGAUAUGUACAAUAUAUGGUGUGGGACAGUGGCUUUCCAUAAAGAAAAAAAUGUUGAGAAAGUAUUCUUAAUUUUUAUUGUGCCAUAAAAGUAAUUUCAGAUGCAAUAGAGACUUAAACAUGAAGCCCAGAAUUUUUUUGUUGUUGUUGUUUUUGUUUUUCUUUUUUGUACUCUGUCACCCAGACUGGAGUGCAGUGGCACAAUCUCGGCUCACUGCAACUUCCACCUCCUGGGGACAAGUGAUUCUCCUACCUCAGCCUCCCGAGUAGCUGGGAUUGCAGGUGUCCGCCACCACGCCCGGCUAAUUUUUGUAUUUUGUAUUUUUUAUUUUUUGGUAGAGAACGGGUUUCACCAUGCUGGCCAGGUUGGUCUUGAACUCCUGACCUCGUGAUCCACCUACCUCACAGAAUUUUAAAGUAUUAAAAAUAUAACCUUAUGACUCUGUUGAUAAAAAGGAUAUUUUAGCUAGAAAAUUUGACAUUACAAACAUUUAAUUACAAGACAAGGGUGAGAAGCAAAGCCCUUAAGUAAAAGAAGAUAUUUGUAACACAGGUAACCAAUAAAGGAUUAGUACAGAGAAUAUAUAAAUAAUUCCAAUAUAAGAAUUUUAACAAGACAAACAAAUAGAAAAAUGGGCAAAAGAUGUGAGCAAAUAUUUACCUAGAAGAGGAAACAUUAAUUACCCAUAAAUCACAAAAAAGAUAUUCAACUUCAUUAAUCAUUAGGAGAUGCCAUUAAAACUACAAUUUGAUAACAUUUCACAACAGGUUGCCAAAAAAAAGAAGAAAGAAAACAAAUUACCACGUAUCAGGGAAGAUAAAGAGCAUUUCAAGUCUGAAAUUGGGAUUGGAGGCCCGACAUGAUGAAACAAUAUGAUAAAGGAAGCCUGGGUUCUUGAUAACGUGGAGCACAAUAUAGGCCCUGAACUGCCUAUUUGGUUUUUAUAUGGAGGAGACAUAAAUUUCUAUUUUGUUUAGGCAAAUUUAUUUUCUGUCACUUUUCUGUCAGACAGUUUUCUGUCACUUUCAGCAUAACUUAAUCCUAAUUACUAUAGCAGUCUUAUUCUAGUAAGAACAAAUUAAAAAAAAAAAAUCAACUAAAGAUACUGGCAUGAACUAAACAUACUGGCAUGGAUGAAUUUCCAAAAAGGAUAAUGUUGGAUAACAAAACCAAGUCAUAGAAGCAUAUGCAUAAUUUAAUUUAUAGAAAAUAAAAACAAAGCAACUAAACAAUAUAGUGAAUAUGUAGAUGCGUAGGCACUAAAGUGAAAACGUUAAAAAGAGAAUGUUUAAAAAUAUAAUUGAGAGAGGAAAAAGAAUGAAUUUGAGAGAACUGUAUGAGGAGGCUUCAACUACUAAUAUUUGAGUUUUUAGGCUAGACAGUGAGUAUAUUAGCAUUUCUCCUAUUUUAUUCUGCAAGCUAUAUACAUACUUUAUACAUACUUUCUGCACAUAUAUUUAUAAGAUGAUAUAUUUAAAAAUAAGUUUAUAAUAGAAGCUGAAGACAUAGAUAUAAAUAUUGACAUAAUCUCAAUGGAAUUCAGCUCUAAGAAUGAGCAGAGGAACGUAGUUGUAACUCUAGGGAGUUAUGGCAUCAAGGGAUGGUAUUUCCAAUAGCAUGAGACAUAUCAUCCACUGGAGAGGGAAAGGCUGAUAAGGCAAAACAGGUACAGUAGUUAGCAAAGUGUUGCAGGCAAUAUUUACAAGUUCUCCAUCUAUACUAUGUGAGUCCCAGAGAAUUUAGGUUAAAGGAACUACGUCUACCUAGCAACCAUGAGGAAGCAUCAGGUGGGUGUACAUGUAUCUUUUGGGUCUAGAAAGUACUGGAGACUGACUAAAAGCAAUUGGAAAACAAUCAACUUCAUGAAUAUAAAUUGAGCCAGAGAUUGAAUGUGACCCAGCUGUCUGCAAACUCAAAUCAGCCUGUCUGUCUAUUUUGUUUGGGUUGGCCAAAAUUCACCAAUACAGAGUGUAGAAAAAAAAUACAUCAUUUAGUCCUAACCUGUAAAUUCAAUUCAAUCCAAUAAUUUAAAAGGUGUCUUAUGUAAUUUUGUCUUUCCUUGGCUUUUUAAUAUAAAAUUAUAUUUUUCGAGAGUUCUUCAUCCUUCUCUUAUAUCCCUCUCAAUCUGGGUCUCAGUUGGGGGCUGGAGAGGAGGAAGGUAGAAUGUAUAUGAUCUUCUGGCACAUUGGGUAGCAGUUCUCAUCUCUGCAGUGUUGUCUGACUCUUCUCACCUCCAUGAUUGGGACAAUUUUAGUCCAGGUGCUGUCUGCUCUGUUGGCAUUUGAGGAUGAACUCAGCCAAAAAGCAUCAACAGUGAACUAGUCACUCCAGUGCUGAAUACCUGCCUGGGGUCUGACCACGAUUUCCAUUUGUCUGUCCUAGGAUGUCUACUCCUGCAGCUAAGGCCAUUCCAGCUCCUCUUUUGUAGCCCCCUUUAAUAUAUCUAUAUUUUUUGUUUAUUUUUCUUUUGGAACACUGUCUUAACCUAGUCUUGGGGCCCUGACUGUAGGCCAGUCGGUUCCCUUUCUUGAGCAGUUAAGUAUACAUCCCAACUAGUUCUCUUGUUGGGCUGUCACACUGUGGGCCACUAAGUACCUGAGCUAAUAAUACCAGACAACUAGGGAGAGCCCUUAUGCUCCAGAGUCCAUAAAAUAAUUCCAAUUAGCCAAUCCACAAGGAGCCUGGAAACCUAGCUAACCUCACCCCAUUUGCUACACAUAAACUGUCACCUACAGCUCCAGUUUUCUGUUACCGUGUCCUCAGGUGCAAACCUUGUGUGGUGGCCUUCCCUGGUUUGGAGCUGAAAGUAACAGUGGGAGUUCAUAGACUAUACAUGGAUGACACUGUCACCAUCAUAAGUGAUGGAACUCAGUGGAAUGUGGCUGGUUUCUAUCCGCCAACUGGGAUGCUCCUGAUAAAGGGUAGGACCCAAAGGUUCAGCACAAUUGCCAAACUUCAGGCAGUCUUCUUAACACUGGAUGCCCUGAACUACAAAUGGCUCCAUCUGCACAUUUUUACAAACUCUUGGGCCAUUGCUGAAAAGUUGUCCCCUUCAGGAUAAAGAAUUCUGGAAAUAGUUUGCCUCAUGGAUACCCAAACUAUAAAUCAAGGUCAUAGACAUUUCUACAUAUAUUAAUGCCAUACUAAAAGGCUUCCCAGACACUCCUUAUCCCUUUUCGAGUUCUACACACUACUUGUCGUGAUCAAUGAACACACUUCACCUCUUAGAAUCCAGUGUUGGGCUCAUUCAAUGGAACUUUUACCUCUCCAAUAGGUUCCAGACAGCUGGUGUAAUUUAGAACCUAAGAAGCCCUUCCAUGAGCCCCUAUUUAUUUUACAAAAUGACCAAGGUACCCCUAAAUGCAUCUUUAUUUUGCCCUAGUUCUUACCCUCUCUUAAUUCAAGGUCACUUGGCUGACUUAUACCUCAUACUAAAUUUGAAAAAAUUUCCCAUCAUCCUUUCCUAUGUACAUGUCUUGCCUCCAUGUAUAUAAGGACUCAUAAUACAUGAGGCCAUUUAAAAAUGUUUUAUUUGUCUGUUUUCACAGUACUAUAAAGCUACUACCAGAGGCUGGGUAAUUUAUAAACAAAAGAGGUUUAACUGACUCAUAGUUCUGCGUGGCUGAAUAGGCCUUAGAAAAUUUACAGUCAUGGCAGAAGGCAAAGGAAAAGCAAGUACCUUUUCAAGGCGGCAGGAGAGAGAGAGCACACACAAGGGAAACUGCCAUUCUUAAAAUCUUCAGAUUUCAUAAGAACUCCCUCACUAUCACAAGAACAGCAGAGGGGAAGCUGCCCCCAUGAUCUAAUCCCAUCCCACCAAGUCCCUCCCCUGACUCGUGGGGAUUACUAUUUGAGAUUAGGUUUGGGUGGGGACACAGAGCCAAAGCAUAUCAAAUGGAUAUUUUUUGAUAUCUUCAUGGAUAUUUUUAACUUACCCCCAUCCCAUAAAGGUAAGCCAAAUUGGGCAUUUACUUCCCUGCUACCCAUUCACCAUAGACUGCCCCAUGGGCCGGGCACUUUUUCAUCUAGUGUAGGACCCAUUUGAGCCUGAAUUCCUACCAUCCAAGAAAACCUUCCCAAAAUUUGCAUUAUAAGAGGGUGGAUAACUAAUCCAGACUCUCCUUCCAAUCUCCUCUAGGAAACUACAUUAGUUGUCCAGGGCCAUUCCUACUUAGUGUGGACUACCAAAAAGGGAGAUAUAAAACUCCACUUAGUAAAUUAAAAAUUACAUUUGGAGAUAAUAAAAUCAACACUAUGUCUCAUAAUGAAGACACCAGAAAACCCUCACUUGGCAAUAAUAAAAGGUGGAGGAAAAUCAACAUCAGACAAGAAAGACCUGCUGAAUGCAUCUACGUAAUAUUCUGUUGACUCUUGGUCUUGUUACUGUUGGUCUGGGUGCGUUCACUUGUUUGCAACCCAGAGGCCCCAAACCCUCCAAGUAGGCCAUUUUUCAGUCAAAUGUGGCAAAUCUUGAGGCCUGCAUUCGCUGAGUUGGGCUAAUACAGGCUGGGGACCCCAAAGACCUCAAUGGCUGGUGAUACGGUUUGGCUCUGUGUCCCCACCCAAAUCCCAUGUCUAAUUGUAACUCCUACCUGUCAAGGGAGGGACCUGGUCGGAUGUGAUUGAAUCAUGGAGGCAAUUUCCCCGAUGCUGUUCUCAUGAUAGUGAGUGAGUUCUCACAAGAUCUGAUGCUUUAAAAGUGGCACUUCCCCUUCGCUCACUCUCUCUCUCCUGCCACCAUGAGAAGACAUGCCUUGCCUUCCCUUCACUCUCAUGAUAGUGAGUGAAUUCUCACAAGAUCUGAUGCUUUAAAAGUGGCACUUCCCCUUCGCUCAUUCUCUCUCUCCUGCCACCAUGAGAAGACGUGCCUUGCCUUCCCUUCGCCUUCUGCCAUGAUUGUCAGUUUCCUGAAGCCUCCUCAGCCAUGUGGAACUGUAAAUAAAUUGAACCUUUUUCUUUUAUAAAUUACCCAGUCUUGGGUAGUUUUUUUAUAGCAGUGUGAAAAUGGACUAAUAUAGCUUGUCUGUCAUCAACUGAACCAACAGCUGAGGCAAACAGCUCCUAGUAAUUGGUGAAAUUGGAGGGCUUGCCUACAGAUUAAUGCUGGAACUCUACUCUCAGCCACAGAUAUUUUAAUUGGUAAAUAAACUGGUACUCUAUUGACAACAUAUCAGGCCAUAUGAUUUAAAACCUAUCUGCUAGCAAAAUUCCUCUCAUUAUCUACAUGGGCAAAACUUUGGACUAUUAGGAGCUUUUAGAUUUGGCAACCCUUAAUUAGAGCUUUCAUUGUCCCAGUAGUAUUCUGAAGCUUUAGUCCAAUUACGGCAGUAUCAUUGAUGCUGGCAUCAUCUUUAUUUGCUUUGUACCCACCAAAUCCCCUGACCAUAAAAAUAUUUGCAAGUUGGGCAGGGCGCAGUGGCUCAUGCCUGUAAUCCCAGCACUUUGGGAGGCCGAGGCGGGCGGAUCACGAGGUCAGAAGAUUGAGACCAUCCUGGCCAACAUGGUGAAACCCCAUCUCUACUAAAAAUACAAAAAAUUAGCCGGGCGUUGUGGCGCGCGCCCGUAGUCCCAGCUACUCGGGAAGCUGAGGCAGGAGAAUCGCUUGAACCCGCGAGGCCGAGGUUGCAGUGAGCCGAGAUCGCGCCACUGCACUCCAGCCAUGGGGACACAGCGAGACUCCAUGUCAAAAAACAUAAAUAAAAAUGAAAAUAGGCUGGACGCGGUGGCUCACGCCUGUAAUCCCAGCACUUUGGGAGGCCGAGGCAGGCGGAUCACGAGGUCAGGAAAUCAAGACCAUCCUGGCUAACGCGGCAAAACCCGGUCUCUACUAAAAAUACAAAAAAUUAGCCGGCCGUGGUGGUGUGCAUCUGUAGUCCCAGCUACUCGGGAGGCUGAGGCAGGAGAAUGGCGUGAACCCGGGAAGCGGAGCUUGCAGUGAGCCGAGAUUGCGCCACUGCACUCCAGCCUGGGCGACGAGCAAGACUCCAUCUCAAAAAAAUAAAUGAAUAAAUAAAUAAAAAUUUAAAAAUAAAUAAAUAAAAUAAAAAUAUUUGCAAGUUAAUCUCUCAUGCCCAGUGUUGCCUUCAAAUUCCAUGACUAGCUCAGCCUCAUAAAAUAACAUAGAGCCACCUAAAAAUAACCCACAUCAACUCAAGUGGGUAUCCACUUCCCAGAUGACAUCACCUCAGCCCAAGACUUUGCUGUUGGAGAUGCUUUCAUUGCUGCAUUGGAUGUGGCUUAACUCCAGACACUGAGACUACUGCCCCAGCAAUGUCCAUGGACUGCCCCUCCUAGGGCACUAGCAAAUUAGACAUGGGAUACUUAUUGCUUUUGUUCCUUUGAUAUUAGGGAUUCUACUACAUUUCCUGAGCUUGCUAUUUGCUUGGCCCAUGAUGCCAGUAUACUUCUUACUUUCUGCAAGACUUAUAUCACUACACUCUCAUUACUAAAGGAAAACCUUUUGUUAUUAUUAUUGUAAUUUCUAAUUGGGAAACUAUAAUUGUAUAUAUUUGUGAGAUACAAUGGGAUCAUUUAAUAUAUGUAUACAAUGUGGAAUAGUUAACACAAGCUGAUUAACAUACCCAGCACUUUACUUACUUAUUUAUUUAUUUAUUUUGCGGUAAGACAUUUAAAAUCUACUCUCUUGGCAAUUUUGAAAUACACAUUUAUAUUAACUAUGGUCAUUAUGUUGUGUAAAAGAUCUCAAAAACUUAUUCCUCCCAUCUAACUAAAACUUAGUGCCACUGGAAGUGCGUCUCACCAUUCUCCCCUCCCCAUCCCCAGCUCCAACCGAGAGCCUCUGGUAAUCACCAUUGUACUCUCAACUUCUGUUCAUUUGACUUUUAAAAAUUCCACAUAUGAGUGCGAUCAUGCAGUAUUUAUCUUUCGGUGCCUGGUUUAUUUAACUUAAUGUUCCCCAGGUUCAUCCAUGUUGUUUCAAAUAACAGAAUUUUAUAGUUUUUUUUUUAAAGAAUGAAUAGUAUUCCAUUGAGUAUAUAUACCAUAUUUUCUUUAUCCAUUCAUGCAUCACUGGACAUUAAGGUUGCUUCCACAUCUUGGCUAUUGUGAACAAUGCUGCAAUUAAUGUGAAAGAACAUAUACCUCUUCUAUAUACUGACUUCAAUUCCUUUGGAUAUAUACCCAGAAGUGGGAUUGCUGGAUCAUAUGGUUGUUAUAUUUUUAGUUUUUUGAAGAACCUUGAUCCAUUUUCCAUAAAUGGCUAUCCUAUCUAACACGCCCACCAACAGUGUACAAGGGGUCUCUAAAGGAGAAUCUUGUGGAGGUUACUACUAUAAUUGCCAUUCUAAAAAUUAAUGGAGAUUAUUGCUUGCUUCAGUAGGUAACUGCCUCAUACUGGUGUACCAUUUAACUAGACUUCCUACCCCCAGAGCGUUUUCCUACUUCCCCUUCUGAUGUGCCACCACAAGCUCGAACUGUGUGUCUGUAACCAUGACUACCACUUGGUCAGAAACAAAUACUACUCACUUUUAAAUACCUUACAGAAUUAUGAGUCCAUAUAAUCCAGUAAUAUAACUGUUGGACCUGCCACCUUCAAUUGACUCGAUAAGUACACCAAAAUAUUAUUGUCAUAAAUAACUAAUGCUGUAACACACUUUACAACCUCACCAAAAUAUUGUUAGAGACUCUAAGCAUUUUAAAUUUGUUUUCUUGACUAAUGCCAUAUAUAUGGGACCUUAGAUAUGGGGCCAGCCUACAGGGAGUCCUUAGACUUUUCGUUCCUUUCUACUCUCAUAACAAAAUUCUUUCUACGUUAUUUAGGGUAACUUAAGUCCUACACCGUAAAAAUUUCCUCUACUACUUGGGCCACUCAAAUACCCCAAAUAAUCAAGCUCAAAACUGAUGUCAAGCCAUCAAGGAGUUAAUUAUAAUAUAUUUUGUUUCAUUUUGUUUUUUGAAGUGCCAUCUUAACCCAGUUGUAAGGCCUGGCUACAAGCUUAUCAGUUUCCUAUCUUGAGCAGUUGAUUAAAUACACACCCCAAACACUUCUGUUAUGAGGCUCUUGCAUUCCAGGCCACUAUGCACCUGCCCUAGUGGCCCUGGGACCAGAUCCCAAACAAAAGGGACACCUAUUAUGUCUCAGAGCCACAAAAUGAUUCAAAUUAGCCAAGCCACAGGAAUCCUGGGAAAUCUAGGGUUACUACUUAUUUGCCAUAAGUUAGCUGCCUUCCACAAUUCCAGUUUACUGUUACCGUGUCCCUGAGUACAAUCCUCUACGUGGCAGCAUUCUCUAGCUCAACGUUGUUAAGUAACGAAGACUUCUGACUUUCAUUUAUCUGAAAGUCAGUAUAUUGUGUCCUACCAUCAAAACAAUCCUUAAAUCUCAUAUAACACUCUCUUGGCUAUCUCUUCAGCCAGAUUUAGCUUCAUCUGGGUUCUGUGCAAGCCCACCAGAACUAAGGAUGUCCCAAAAAACUACAAAAAAUGUCUCCUUCUGCCACCCCUACUACUUGCUAGGUUUUCUAACAAGCGAUGCCUCAGGCUGAUUGCCUAAAAGAUGAUCAAACAUGAAAGAGCAAGAUCUUCUUGGCUUUCAUGUACCUGGAUGGUUCUAAACACUUCCCAGUUUCUGUCUGACCUCAACUCCAGGUAUAUAAAGUGGACAGGGGACAGAGUAGGAGGCAGAGAUGGAAGGUAGGAAGAAUAACUAGAAAACUCCAAACUCCUGGCAGCUGUUUUUCUCUUUCCUUGAUGUCUGUUUUUCUCUCGUCUACCUUGCUCUUCUUACUAUAUCCCCCAAAUUGGGAGGCUUUUAUUUUGUUCUCAAUUAAUUUGGGUAUUGAACACAAAAAUGUGUAUUUAGG
rnacentral:lncRNA from 10 species